AAAAUGCUGGGUUAUUUUGCUAACCCAACUGCUGGGUUAAGGCUGAUUUUUAAGCAGUUGGGUCAAUUUAAUACAACAUUGGGUCAAACAUUUUGACCCAGCAUGUUGGGUUAAAAGGGGCGGUAAAAAGAAAGAUCCUCCCCCUCGUCUGUGCCAGCUUCACCAUUUUAAAGUGGAGGAUGACAAGGACUUGCCUCAUUUCCAUGGACCUUCACACCAGCAAUGUUUAAAAAUAAGAUGGAUGAAUUUGUGAAGGACAAACUUCUGGAAUGGAACCUCUCUGAAUACAUCCCUGCUUUUGAAGCUGAAAAGAUUGACAAAGACAGCCUUUUCCUCUUGGAUGCGAACAGCUUGACGACUUUGAUACCUCUCCUGGGUCCACGCCUGAAAAUUCAGAAUAAUUUAAAAAGAUUACUUGAGGUAUGACCAGUGUCAGAGGUCAAAACAGAAUGGGGUACGUGUGCUUUAAAUGUCAUAGGUCUUUAGGUCAUAACAUAAGAGCUUUUUUUAACCAUCUCAGAGUGGUGCAUCAUAUACUUUCUACUUCAACUUAUUUCCAGUGUGCUCAAGUUGGGUGCCAUCGCACUUUUGAUCAAAUAAGAUCAUUCAGACGACACAUAAUUGGGCAUGCUAUUGAGUUUGACAUUGAAACAGAAGAAAGUAGCACAGGUGAACUUCCUGACAGUUCAGUAGAUCCUCAUUUAAGUGUGCUAAAUGAGGUGGAAUGCUGUGAGACUACAGCAGAACAUUGGGAUGAGCUAGAGGAAGACAACAUAAAGGACAGAGUUGCACUCUUCUUAGCUAGGUUAAAGGCAACAUCCUCUCAGACAUUCAGUGGGAUUAGAGAUGUAGUUGAAAACACAUCAGGUCUUAUCAGAGAUGUAGUUGGUUGCUUAAAGAGAAAAACACUCUCUUUUUUAAGAGAGAUCGGUCACUCUGAGACUCCACAAGCAGAGGACCUCAUGGAGCAGUUCACCAAAGCAGCUGAACCAUUUCAAGGAUUUGAAUCAGAGUACAAGCAAAUGAAAUAUUUUACUCAGUCUGGGUUCUUCAUACAGCCAGAGGCAGUACCACUCCCUGGCUUUUCCUUUACACAAGAAAUUGAUCGAGAGUCAGGAAAUGUGAAACAAGUUGCAG